rnacentral:rRNA from 1 species
UACGUAGGUGGCAAGCGUUGUCCGGAUUUACUGGGCGUAAAGGGAGCGUAGGUGGAUAUUUAAGUGGGAUGUGAAAUACUCGGGCUUAACCUGAGUGCUGCAUUCCAAACUGGAUAUCUAGAGUGCAGGAGAGGAAAGUAGAAUUCCUAGUGUAGCGGUGAAAUGCGUAGAGAUUAGGAAGAAUACCAGUGGCGAAGGCGACUUUCUGGACUGUAACUGACACUGAGGCUCGGAAAAGCGUGGGGGAGCAAACAGG